rnacentral:rRNA from 1 species
UACGUAGGGUGCGAGCGUUGUCCGGAAUUAUUGGGCGUAAAGGGCUCGUAGGCGGUUUGUCGCGUCGGGAGUGAAAUCCACUGGCUUAACUGGUGGCUUGCUUUCGAUACGGGCAGACUGGAGGUAUGCAGGGGGAGAACGGAAUUCCUGGUGUAGCGGUGAAAAUGCGCAGAUAUCAGGAGGAACACCGGUGGCGAAGGCGGUUCUCUGGGCAUGUCCUGACGCUGAGGAGCGAAAGUGUGGGGAGCAAACAGG